rnacentral:rRNA from 1 species
GAUGAACGCUAGCUACAGGCUUAACACAUGCAAGUCGAGUGGAAACGGCAUUAAGUGCUUGCACUUUUUGGACGUCGACCGGCGCACGGGUGAGUAACGCGUAUCCAACCUUCCCAUGACUAAGGGAUAACCUGCCGAAAGGCAGACUAAUACCUUAUGGUCUUCACUGACGGCAUCAGAUGUGAAGUCAAGAUUUAUCGGUUAUGGAUGGGGAUGCGUCUGAUUAGCUUGUUGGCGGGGUAACGGCCCACCAAGGCAACGAUCAGUAGGGGUUCUGAGAGGAAGGUCCCCCACAUUGGAACUGAGACACGGUCCAAACUCCUACGGGAGGCAGCAGUGAGGAAUAUUGGUCAAUGGGCGAGAGCCUGAACCAGCCAAGUAGCGUGCAGGAUGACGGCCCUAUGGGUUGUAAACUGCUUUUGUAUGGGGAUAAAGUCAAUCACGUGUGAUUGUUUGCAGGUACCAUACGAAUAAGGACCGGCUAAUUCCGUG